rnacentral:rRNA from 1 species
AUGCAUGAUGUGAAAUUUGGCUACAGAUGGAACAUAGGGGAUGGGAGCAGAACCAGGUUCUGGGAAGAUACUUGGUUUGGCACAUCCCCCCUAGCAGUCCAAUUUUGGCCUAUUUACUCUGUCCGCAUUGAGCUUAACAAAAGUGUCAAUGAAGUUUGGGACGGUCAAUGCCUAAAACUCUCUUUUAGAAGGAACUUUAGUGAUAGUCUCAUGGAACAAUGGUUCCAGUUGGAGGACAUUGCCAAAAGCAUUACCUUUACUGCCGAGCCGGAUGCUCUAAUUUGGCAGCUGGACAAUAAGGGGAAGUAUUCCUCCAGCUCCCUCUAUCAUGUUAUCAACUUUAGAGGGGUUCAACCUGUGUUUAUCCCUGCUGUCUGGAAAUUGAGAGUUCCCCUAAAAUUCAUGUAUUUCUCUGGCUUCUCUCCAAAAACAAAUUGA